GUGCCAGCAGCCGCGGUAAUACGUAGGGUGCAAGCGUUGUCCGGAAUUACUGGGCGUAAAGAGUUCGUAGGCGGUUUGUCGCGUCGUUUGUGAAAACCAGCAGCUCAACUGCUGGCUUGCAGGCGAUACGGGCAGACUUGAGUACUGCAGGGGAGACUGGAAUUCCUGGUGUAGCGGUGAAAUGCGCAGAUAUCAGGAGGAACACCGGUGGCGAAGGCGGGUCUCUGGGCAGUAACUGACGCUGAGGAACGAAAGCGUGGGUAGCGAACAGGAUUAGAUACCCUGGUAGUCCACGCCGUAAACGGUGGGCGCUAGGUGUGGGUUCCUUCCACGGAAUCCGUGCCGUAGCUAACGCAUUAAGCGCCCCGCCUGGGGAGUACGGCCGCAAGGCUAAAACUCAAAGGAAUUGACGGGGGCCCGCACAAGCGGU
rnacentral:rRNA from 1 species